CUUGGGUAAGAUGGCGAUCGGAGUUCGGUGAGAACGGCAGACAUAUUUGCUGCUCUUGCGUUUAGUGAGUUUCGCUGUCGUUUAUUGUGCUGUAGGUCAUCAGGAGUUGAGGUACUGUGGCAGAUACCAUAAAGGAUGAGGGGGCCUGGAGGUGAUAAUGCUAAUACAACAUGGCUUCCCAUAGUCCUGCAUUUCUGCUUGAAAGUGAUCUGAUUAGUAUUCUGGGGGCAUCAUGACGGUAUCUCAGCAAUGGUGAGAUAGUUGGAGGGUCUGCAGUAUACACUACAGAUCUAUCCAUCCACCAUUUAUUCGUCAACAUGGUGUAUGGAGAAAGAAGAUUGUUGACUGAUCGGACAUCAACAAAUUGUGAUAUCUUUGUUCGAGGAGCCAUUUUUUGUGCACUGCUAACGGGGACCCAAAAUUGAAACGUAUCAGGAGUGUCCCACAACAUGGCACAAGUAUGGAAUGUGGGCUCAGGGGCUGUACAGAAGUAGGAAGUGGCCGCUUGGGGCAAUAUUUGUAAAUGUAUAAGUUUUGUGUCAUGAAUAAAUCCUUUCAUACUUCCUUAAUGAAGGAUUAUUGUACCAUCUCCAUGUGAAGUUUUUGUAAUCUUUUGAUUUUGAGAAUAAACCCCUAAAGUUUGUUAUUAUGUUCCCUGUAUUUUUGAGUAAGUAAAGUUCUAUGUAUUGUGA
rnacentral:misc_RNA from 1 species